GCCUGAGUGGCUCAGUGGUUGAGCAUCUGACUUCGGCUCAGGGUGUGAUCCCGAGUCCUGGGAUUGAGUCCUGCUUUGGGCU
rnacentral:tRNA from 1 species